rnacentral:piRNA from 1 species
AACACAGACUAAGUCAGACACCCAGGU